rnacentral:rRNA from 1 species
AGAGUUCGAUUCUGGCUCAGGACGAACGCUGGCGGCGUGCCUAACACAUGCAAGUCGAACGAAGCUCGAAGCUCUGAGAUUUCGGUCAAGGAGCCUAGAUGACUUAGUGGCGAACGGGUGAGUAAUGCGUGAGCAACCUGCCUUUCAGAGGGGGACAACAGUUGGAAACGACUGCUAAUACCGCAUAAUAUACUAUGCAGGCAUCUGCGUGGUAUCAAAGGAGCAAUCCGCUGAAAGAUGGGCUCACGUCUGAUUAGCUAGAUGGCAGGGUAACGGCCUACCAUGGCGACGAUCAGUAGCCGGUCUGAGAGGAUGAACGGCCACAUUGGGACUGAGAUACGGCCCAG